rnacentral:rRNA from 1 species
CCUACGGGUGGCAGCAGUAGGGAAUAUUGCUCAAUGGGCGAAAGCCUGAAGCAGCAACGCCGCGUGGAGGAUGAAGGCUUUCGGAUUGUAAACCCCUUUUGUUAGAGAAGAUAAUGACGGUACCUAACGAAUAAGCACCGGCUAACUCCGUGCCAGCAGCCGCGGUAAUACGGAGGGUGCAAGCGUUACUCGGAAUCACUGGGCGUAAAGGGCGCGUAGGCGGGAUCGCAAGUCAGAUGUGAAAUCCUAUGGCUUAACCAUAGAACUGCAUUUGAAACUGUUAUUCUGGAGUAUGGGAGAGGUAAGUGGAAUUCUUGGUGUAGGGGUGAAAUGCGUAGAGAUCAAGAGGAAUACUCAUUGCGAAGGCGACCUGCUGGAACAUAACUGACGCUGAUGCGCGAAAGCGUGGGGAGCAAACAGGAUUAGAUACCCCGGUAGUC